rnacentral:snoRNA from 1 species
AAGACUAUACUUUCAGGGAUCAUUUCUAUAGUUUGUUACUAGAUAAGUUUCUCUGAAGGUGUAGAGCAAGAAG